rnacentral:siRNA from 1 species
UAUGGGUACUUAUGGCUAUGC